GCCGCAGAGCGCUCGGGGUCUGGGCGGCCGCCGAGACAGGUGGUUGGGGGCGCUGACGGUGCGUCGGAGUCGGGGUGUCCGUGCGCGUUCCUCUGCGAGCGUCUUCGGGGGCGCGGAGGAACAGCAAAUGACAGAGCAGAGGGACAGCGGACCCAGCCAAUCCUAGAGCGGCUGCAACACUUGUUCCCCAGACAGGCGCAUUCUGCUGCUGUGAGCCAUAAGCAGCUCUACUCUGGAGCAUGCCUUUCAGCCAUCAUGUUGCUGGCCUGGAGCUAGUCCACUGUGGACUGAAUUCCUCUGACACAGGAGCCACAUUGGCAUCUCUUCCUUUAAGCUGUGAGUGUGGGGGCUUGUGCCCAGUGAGAGGAAGAUGACUAACAUGACCGUGAGGGGAGGAGCGCUGUGUCUGGAUUCUGGAGUAUGCUCGCUUUCCAGACCGCAGUGCGGUUCCACGGUGCUUUGCGUGUGCCCUCACCACCUAGCCUCUUUAACGGUGAUGGCAGAGUGAAGAUGUCACCCUGUGACACUGGGGAAGACUAAUCAGGGGUUGUAGGGAAGAGCUGGGCCGGGCAGGAGGCAAGGCCAGGCCGGGUCAGGCAUCCCAGGAGUGGUGCCCGUGCUUUCCUGGCUCAUCGGGCAUCCCUGCCUCCAGUUUGCUCUUGACAUUCUCCCUCGGGUCCCAUGCACUUGCUCAGUUUGGGGAGAGGCAGAUACGUUUUUUGGAUAACCUCAAGUCACACAAUUAAGAAGGCACAUCUACUUAGAAUAAAUAGCAUUCACAAAUGGUGGUGAGGUGCCCUUUUAAAAAAUGUUUCCCUCUGUUAGUGAAAGCGACUAGGGAAUAGAUUAUUGUUUGGCAAAUUCUUGAUAUUCUAUUUCAGGCUCACUGCUUCCCUUCUCAUGCAGAUGACUCAGGUGAUCCCCAAGGCUUGAUAGCCAGAUUCUAGGUUACUGCUAUUCUGAUGAGCAGCUGGGGCCACUGAACCCAAAAGCCUGGGGGGUUCUGUCCAGUCAUGGUAAAUAUUUGAGUGUCUUAAGUGAGUGAGUGUGUAUAUAUUUAGAAGCAGCACCCAACAGACAGAACCCCAGGGUAAACCUGCCUUGCUCAUCCCCGGGUGACGGGUGACGCAGGGCACGUCCAAGGUUACGACCUCCAGUGCAUGAUCCACUGAAGCCACUUCCUUCUGCAGUCAAGGCUGCCCACGCCCAGCCGUGGUUUCCUGCGCCAGGUCAGGAAGUGCAGGGCGCCCCUCUCGGGACCUCUUGGUGACUUCUACUCUUCUGUCAGCGGCCCAUGUUCUUUUACCACUGUCCCAGAAUCUCCUUGCCGGUUAUUGUCCUGCUCCUAGACCCUGGCUUCUUCAUGGACGUGGUUUCCAGGCCUAGAGUUCCUCCCGUGCUCUGGUAGCCGCUGAACAUUUAAGCCCAAUACAUUUCCAGUUUUCUUUUCACAGAAGUAAGGCUGGAAAAAUUAACUUUUCAGUUUUAAAAACAUGUACUUCUUUAAUACAGUAUUGAAGUUUUAUAAUAUCACUACCAUUUAUUUAAAUGCAUAGGAAAAUACCCUCAAAUAUGGUGUGUGUGUCUUUCAGAUUUCACCAGCAGGGGCAGAAGGUGAUGGAAUCUGUUGGUAUUGGGUUAUUGACCCAUUUAGAUCAAAGUCCAUUUUGUAGGGCCAGCAAAAUAGCUCAGAAGACUAAGUGCCUGCUUCAGCAAGUGCA